rnacentral:rRNA from 1 species
CUACGUGCCAGCAGCCGCGGUAAUACGUAGGUCCCGAGCGUUGUCCGGAUUUAUUGGGCGUAAAGCGAGCGCAGGCGGUUAGAUAAGUCUGAAGUUAAAGGCUGUGGCUUAACCAUAGUACGCUUUGGAAACUGUUUAACUUGAGUGCAAGAGGGGAGAGUGGAAUUCCAUGUGUAGCGGUGAAAUGCGUAGAUAUAUGGAGGAACACCGGUGGCGAAAGCGGCUCUCUGGCUUGUAACUGACGCUGAGGCUCGAAAGCGUGGGGAGCAAACAGGAUUAGAUACCCUGGUAGUCCACGCCGUAAACGAUGAGUGCUAGGUGUUAGACCCUUUCCGGGGUUUAGUGCCGCAGCUAACGCAUUAAGCACUCCGCCUGGGGAGUACGACCGCAAGGUUGAAACUCAAAGGAAUUGACGGGGGCCCGCACAAGCAGCGGAGCAUGUGGUUUAAUUCGAAGCAACGCGAAGAACCUUACCAGGGCU